AUGCUCUCUCUCUCAUCUGCCACCAUGUAAGAAGUGCCUGCUUCCCCUUAUGCCUUGAUUGUAAGUUUCCUGAGGCCCCCCCAGCCAUGCAGAACUUUUUUUUUCUUCCUUGGUGGACUUUUUACAACCUACUAGGAGUUGAUGGGCUUCGAAUUUUCAAGGGGAAAAGAUGAAGAUUCAGUAAAGAAUGUGUAUACCGUAUUGGAUACUUCAGCUCAACUGUGGGACAUUUUCUUUUCCAUGCUUUGACCCAACCUGGCCAUCUGGUUGGCAAGUAAAUGAAACCGAUGGCAGAAAUCUUAUAUGUGAUGCUUAGGCAAAAACAAUCAAGAAUCGAUGUGCAAAUAAUUUCCUUGGGAAGAACUCUUUAUAGACUAGAGUUUCGCCUGAGGUGAACCUGGCUUGUCACAGGAGGUAAGAUACAAGAGGAUUCACUCCAAAUUGUACACCACACUCAGGCAUGGGACUAAGAACGAUCUACAAUCAGAAAGUGAUUCAAAAGACUCUCAGCUAAGUGCUACAUAAUGAGCAACUCGUACUCCUCAACCAAAUGAUAAUGAAAGAGAGGCACCUGACUCAAGCAAUGGAUGUAGGAGCAGAAGACUAGAAGGUAAAGCAAGUACAUGCUACCUGUCUGGGCAAGACCUUUCAGUGCCUUUCCAUAUUUCAAUGGGAAGUGGAGCUGUAUGGACUGCAUCAACAGAGCUGUCAUCUUCUCUGGCUUUUAGUUGGAUUUGGCCAAUGGAAAGCAUCACAGACAUUUUAAAAACUAAUAAUAGGGGGACCAUAUUUUAAUGCAGAGAGAAUUCUGAUGGAGACUUUCAACUGCUCCUGGAAGCCACACAAAAGACAUUUUGAACCUCCCUCUGUUAUGCAUCCUGGUCCCUGAGAAUCCAGAACUUGACUGCUAUUCUCUUUAUUUUCUUUCACCAACGUAUAGAAUCUGCUUGCUACUGGCUGGCCUGAAUCUGAUGAUAGUUUCCAUGUAGAAUUUCAGAGCCAGUGUCAGCAGAUAGCCUGUUUGAGAGGUUUCUGUUACCUCUGCUUUUACAAGCCAGGAUCUCAACAUGAAAUCAAGUUUUUAUUGAUCUAAAGAUGAACAGUGAAAAAAACUCUACUCUUUUGUCUAGAGAGAGACUUCCACACAAACUGGGAUAUUGCCUUCCUUACUGCAAGUUCAAUUAAGUGUGCUCUGCUUUUCAGUGAUAGCUGGAAAUAUCUGGGUUUAGCUGAGAAAUGUACUUAAAAUAAAGCAUAUAGACCUGUGCCAUAUAAUACUGUAGCCACUAGCCAUAGGUAGCUAAUUAAAUUAAGUUAAUUAAAAGUAAGUGGCGCAGUGGCUCACACCUGCAAUCCCAGCACUUUGGGAGGCCGAGGAGGGGAGAUCACGAGGUCAGGAGAUCAAGACCAUCCUGGCUAACACGGUGAAACCCUGUCUCUACUAAAAAUGCAAAAAAAUUAGCCGGGCGUGGUGGCGGGCUCUUGUAGUCCCAGCUACUCGGGAGGCUGAGGCAGGAGAAUAGCGUGAACCCGGGAAGCGGAGCUUGCAGUGAGCCGAGAUCGCGCCACUGCACUCCAGCCUGCGUAACAGAGCAAGACUCCGUCUCAUAAACAAAUAAAUAAAUGAAAUUAAAAGUUCAGUUUUUUGGUUGCUCUUGUUACAUUAAAGUGCCCAGUAGUCACAUGUGGCCAUUGUGAUGAUAUGAGUUAACACACAUCUCUCCUUCCUUUCAGAACGUUAGAUUGGUGAGUGCUAAUAUAGACAAUACACUAAUUCUUGAAAUAUACAGCACUAUAUUGUUUCCAUUAUGGAGAGAGAUUUAUUCAAAACGCUUUUAGGGUCAAUUGAUGUUUAUUCUGUAAAUAUGCUGGAGGUUCUUUGAAUUAAUAAAGCAAACCAAAGAUAAGAAUUGGUAAUAUUUAUUGAUUACCUAUAAAGUACAGGUACUAUGCUGAGUUGUUUUCAUGCAUUAGCUUAUUUGAUCCUCAAAAAUCCAUAAUACUUGCAUACUCUUAGUAUCUCACACUCUGGAGUCUUACAGCUAGGAAUUGGUAAAGGCAAAAUUAGAAUCCGGCUAAUUUGGCUCCAAAACCCGUGUCUUAGCAAUCAUGCUCUACUGCCUUCCUAAUAGCUGGGGAAAUACUGAAUUACUUGGGCCUUUUUUUUUUUCUGUGAAGGAGAACGAGCAGGUAACCAUCAUCAAGGAAAAUGAGACCUUGUUCAUUACUCUGCAAUCAUACAAUACUUCUGAACAAAUUUUUAAAUGCAUCUGCCAUAUGAACUGAGUAUGAUAUGAACUUGUUUUACUUUUAUAAAAAAACUUCUAGAAUGUUUUUGAUUUCAUUCAAAGGGAUUUGAUCAUUAUAAAGAGUAUACAGUUAAUUUUGAACAGAUUUCAAAAAAUAUACUCCUAAUACAGCAUUCGUUCAUAAUCAUCAGUAGAACAUAUAUAUGUUCUUUUCUUUUCUUCUUUAUUUUUUUUUUUUUGCAAAUUAGCUAUUUUAAAAACCAUCUCAGUGACAAAAAAAAAAGUUAAGAGAUAUAUUGGAAUACUAGUAGAUGAUUUAAUUCCGUUAAUCUCAGUCAGUCCAACCAAGGUCUUUACUAGAGAAAGUUAAAGUAUUUAAAGAAGAAUUUAUGCCUACAACAUUUGCAUAGCCAUGCUGAAGAAACUAACAUUUUAUUGAUGAGUUGCAUCUUUAAUACCAUUAUUAACUAUGUCCAAAAAUAUAUUUUUAUUUUUGAAAAAUGUAUAUUUUUAUUUCACAAAUAUGACAUGGAAGCACUUCAAUGUCCAUUCUAUUUACAUAGUAUAAAAACAUACAAGGGAAAAACAAGUAAAUAUUUUUUAUUUAAUGUCUUGUAGUACAAAUAUAUGAGUUAAAUAGCUGAAAUGCAUUUUACAUUUUGCAUACUUACAAAGCAUGAAAAGUAUCUUGGCAUAUUUACAAAUAUAUCUUUAAAACAAUGAAACACCUCUUGACAAUAAUUGUGUCUUUUUGCAAAUACAAAACUCCUUAUUUUUUUUUUAUUGGCAGCAGUUUGGUUUGCAUAAGUUAGUAAUUCCUGCUGUGCUAAACUAAUUCAGAAAGGAUGAUUGACAGCAACUUAGUUAUUCAAAGGCCAAAUUGCAUAGAUCAGACUGGAUUGACUUCCUCACUUCCCAAUAUUCAAAUAGGAUAUUUUUCUGAUACCCUCAAGAGGUUUCUGAAGAUUGCACUGCAUUAUUGCAUCUACUAAUUGCUCAUCAGGUUUCUCAACUUGAAUGGAAAAUGAGAAGUGAGAUUUUUUUCAAAAUAUGCCUUCUCUACUGUUGGGGAACAUUUAUUUUUUAAAAUAUCAGGGAAAUAGUGCAUUAUUCACUGUGGUUUUGAAAUUUGAACAUUACCCAUGAUCAUGUUCUCAAAUACUUUUUAUAAAUUUAUUUUAGAGCAUUAAAAAGUAGAAAGCACAUUUGGUUGGUUUUUUGGUUUAUACGUUUGUAUGUUUCACAGUCUUGCUCCUAACUAGUAUCUGUGUAAUCACCAUUUAGUUGACAAGUUAUGCACUGUGUAGCUAACAAUUUACUCUGCAGGUCUGUGUUGUGCAAACUCUGCACAUUCCAAGAAAGGAUUAGUCCUUGACCAGUUCCUAGGAAAUAACUUCUAAACCCUUGGAAUAUAAUGCUUGAUAAGAGUAUUUGUGUUUACUUGGCACCUAGAGCCACACCAGGUAGUCUAUGCUAACUGUGUAAUUUAAGGUGGGGGUCUUGGUUCAUGAGGUAUCACUUUGACCUUUGGAGGGGCAAGAGACUGAGUAAAUGAGGCCAGCUGUGCAGACCCAACAUGACCAAACCCACAAACAUAUCUGGUCACCAAGCCUUGGAUGAGCUUUCCUGGUUGGCAAUACUAUCUAUGUGUUGUCCCACACGAUUGCUGGGAGGAUUAUGUGCUGUUUAUAUGACUCAACUUGGAGAAGAAAACUGGAAACUUGCACCUCUGUGCCUUUUUCCUUUCUGAUUUUAAUUGACUUCCUUUCACUGUAAUAAACCAUUGCUGUAAGUGU